CACGACGGCCGCGUGCCCGGAGCGCCGGGGUCUUUCCUGGACUCCAAAGUCAAGAGCUCACGUUCCGGGAGGAUCUGUCCGCGGAAAUUGGGUUCUGAGCGUUGCCGGACUCCGCCGCGGGAGAUUGAGGUUCAGAGAAGUCAGAAGCCUUCCCAAGGUUUCACAGCCAGAAGUGGGCACAGCGUCCUGGGGUGAGGCCUCACACCCUCUGCGCCACCUGCCCUCCAGGUCCCACCAUCCUCACAAAUUCAAGGCAAGGUUCUGGAACCCCCAGCCCUCCAGAAAGGGGAAGCUGAGCCCAGGAGGCACAUCUGAGAGUUCGGGUCCGUGAGUUUACCCUGCGCUCACGC
rnacentral:lncRNA from 1 species